UACGAAGGGUGCAAACGUUGCUCGGAAUUAUUGGGCGUAAAGCGCACGUAGGCGGCUUAGCAAGUCGGAUGUGAAAUCUCUCGGCUCAACCAAGGAAGUGCAUCCGAAACUGCUGAGCUUGAGUACUAAAGAGGGUCGCGGAAUUCCCGGUGUAGAGGUGAAAUUCGUAGAUAUCGGGAGGAACACCGGUGGCGAAGGCGGCGACCUGGGUAGAUACUGACGCUGAGGUGCGAAAGCGUGGGGAGCAAACAGG
rnacentral:rRNA from 1 species